AGAGGGAACACAAGCAGGGGGAGUGGGAGAGGGAGAAGCAGGCUUCCCACGGAGCAGGGAGCCUCAUGCGGGACUCGAUGCCAGGACCCUGGGACCAUGACCUGAGCCGAAGGCAGACGCUUAACCACUGAGCCACCCAGGCGCCCAUACAAUCAGAUUUUAUUUAUUUAUUUGAGAGAGAGAGCGAGCACAAGCAGGAGGAGGGACAGAGUGAAAGGGAGAAGGAGGUUCCCUGAUGUGGGGCUCGAUCCCAGGACCCUGGGAUCCUGACCUGAGCUGAAGGCAGACGCUUAACCGACUGAACCACCCAGGUGCCCCCCACCCCUGCCGCCAAUUGGUUUUUGUGAGAUGAAAUCUCCACAUGUUGGAUUUGGCUAAAGCAGAGACUCAGUGAGUGGGUGAGGAGUCACGUGUCCAUUCUGGUAAUGGUCAGUGAGACACAUAGGUCUCUCAGGGAAAAAAAUGCAGCCUGGCUUUGCUUGUGCCAAGUGUCUGUGGUGGCCCCGAUGGACGGGGCAGUGGUUUUGGGGCUCCCGACGCGGGUGCUGCCCCCUGCCUCUGCCUCACUGCAUGGCGACAUUUCAGGGGCUGCCUCUGUUAGCUGGUAUCCUCAGCACCCAGCACUAAACUGGCAAGAAAUGGUUUGAUGAAGUGACUUCAGCCAGGCCUCAGAUUCCGAGUCAGGAGUCCCAUAUCCUUCUUUGACUGGUUCUGAUACCAGCAAGCUGUGUGGUCUGGAGCAAGUCUGUUUCCUCUCCUGUAAAAUGGGCUCCAUGCUUGGUCUUCUGCAGGUUUGUAAGGACUAGGCAGAGCACAGAGUCAACAUGCAAUGAGUUGUCUUUUUUUUUUUAGAUUUUAUUUAUUUUUCAGAGUGAGGGAACGGGUGAGAGAGAGCACAAGCAGGGGGAGCAGCAGGCAGAGGGAGAAGCAGACUCCCUGCGGAGCAGGGAGCCCGAUGCCGGACUCGAUCCCAGGACUCUGGGAUCAUGACCUGAGCCGAAGGCAGACGCUUAACCAACUGAGCCACCCAGGCGCCCCUGCAAUGAGUUGUCUUGAUGGGGGAGGAGGAAAGAUCCAAUGACAGGUGCUGACCAGCUGUGAAAAAGGAUGUUGAAAGUUACUGUUCCUGCUGUCACUUCGGAAUCAAAGUUGGGACAAAGAAGCGUUUGGAUUCCCAUUCUAGAGAAAGGAGACACUCCUGGGCAGCAGACCUUCCCCUCCAGCGGCUGCUGGAAAGCGGCUGAACCUGUUCUGUUUCUCCCCACAGUGCUGCCAGGUCCCAGCAGGGAUGGUGCAGUUACUGAACCAGGAGGCCUGGCCACUGGGCAGAAGACCCUCAGCACUGGCAGUGGUGGGAUGGGCCCCAGGUGGUGGAAGUGUGCAUAGAGCCCUGAACAGGGAGGAGACCCAGCCAGACCUCUGCCAGCCUACCGUGCAUCCUACAAGAGGCCCAAUUCUGGACACCGCCACAAGGAAGGGAGACUUUGACACCCCAUGGAGGCGAUUACACCAGGGGGCAGUGAAACACAGAGCCCCUCCUCAUCUUUCCUCUCCCUCUUUCCCACGCAGCCUCCCCCCACCAUGAGGGAGGAGGGAGAGUAGCUGGGAUUAGCUGGGAGGUGGAAUUUAAGUUGGCACUACAUGGGACUGGACUUUUUAUAUCUGAAAAUCACCAGAAAGCCACAGGACGUGCCAAGAUGGCGGGAACGGGUGAGAAAGGGAGGCUGAAGGCUGGAUUUGGGGGGAAAUUGUGAUAGAGUCCCGCUGAGCUGAGCACCUUGGGAUCCAGUGGCCAGAGCAGCCUCCUGGAGGGCAUCCAUUCUGUGCCCCCAAGUGCCCGGCUCAGCAGGGGGUCUUCAGUGAGGAGUGGCACAAAAUCAAGGGGGUGAGUGGCCCCCUGGGUGAGGCUGAGCCCCUGCCCUCCCUGGGCUCUGGGUGGCAACUGCUAAUGUCAUCAAGGGACCGCUCCCAGGCUGGCA